rnacentral:rRNA from 1 species
GACGAACGCUGGCGGCGUGCUUAACACAUGCAAGUCGAACGAAGUGGCGAACGGGUGAGUAACGCGUAAUCAACCUGCCCUUCAGAGGGGGACAACAGUUGGAAACGACUGCUAAUACAGCAUACUGAAGGAGGGGAUUGGGUCGGAUUAGGUAGUUGGAGGGGUAACGGCCCACCAAGGCGAUGAGCAGUAGCCGGUCUGAGAGGAUGAACGGCAACAUGGGGACGUAGACACGGCCCAGACUCCUACGGGAGGCAGCAGUGGGGAAUUUUCCGCAAUGGACGAAAGUCUGACGGAGCAACGCCGCGUGAGUGAUGACGGCCUUCGGGUUGUAAAGCUCUGUUAAUCGGGACGCGGUACCGGAAUAGAAAGCCACGGCUAACUACGUGCCAGCCGCCGCGGUAAUAC